CGUCGAUGGAUCAUUGUACGACAGUGCAGUGGGGAUCCUUACACGAGACUAUUGCGAGCCCUUCCAUCAUUCAUGGGUUGAAAUCCCAUUGCAUCAGCGGACACAAGUCUUUGAU
rnacentral:pre_miRNA from 1 species